rnacentral:tRNA from 4 species
AUCUUUCUAGUACCAAUUGUUAGUAUAAGUGACUUCCAAUCACCCGGUCUUGGUUAAAGCCCAAGGAAAGAUA